rnacentral:rRNA from 1 species
UGAAACCGUUUAGGGGUAAACCUGAGAAACCCGAAAGGUCGAAGGGAGAAAUUCAUUCGCGUUUCGAGGCAGGCUUCGUUCGGUUCGUUGACGGAAGGCGCACGUUCGCGCGCGUAUUCCGCUCUUACAGUUCGAAGAUCCGGCAACGAACGCGUGCACUUUUCUCCUGGUAGGACGUCGCGAUCCGUUGGGUGUCGGUUUACGAUUUCGAGUGGAGCCCGUCGGUUUACCCGACGGACCUCGUUAUCUAACCUACUCGCUCGACGGUAUAAGAAAGGUUCGAGGCCGCUCUCGGAGCGUUCGACCUGUGGCAAGCACGUUACGCCCGUCGGUGAUCGGACCUAGUGCCGAUUCUGACAGCUAACGUCUGUUGGCCGCAGAUGUUCUCGGACAGACCUCUCGUAACCGAUCGGCGACGCUAUAGCUUUGGGUACUUUCAGGACCCGUCUUGAAACACGGACCAAGGAGUCUAGCAUGUGCGCGAGUCAUUGGGAAUCACUAAACCUAAAGGCGCAAUGAAAGUAAAGGUCUUCCUUGCGGAGACCGAGGGAAGACGGGCGGUUCGGCCUUAAAACCGGCCGCUCUGCAUUCCCGGGGCGUCUCGUUCUCAUCGCGAGAAGAGGCGCACCAAGAGCGUACACGCUGGGACCCGAAAGAUGGUGAACUAUGCCUGGUCAGGACGAA